rnacentral:rRNA from 1 species
AUUGAACGCUGGCGGCAGGCCUAACACAUGCAAGUCGAGCGGUAACAGGGGAAGCUUGCUUCUCGCUGACGAGCGGCGGACGGGUGAGUAAUGUAUGGGGAUCUGCCCGAUAGAGGGGGAUAACUACUGGAAACGGUGGCUAAUACCGCAUAAUCUCUCAGGAGCAAAGCAGGGGAACUUCGGUCCUUGCGCUAUCGGAUGAACCCAUAUGGGAUUAGCUAGUAGGUGAGGUAAUGGCUCACCUAGGCGACGAUCCCUAGCUGGUCUGAGAGGAUGAUCA